rnacentral:rRNA from 1 species
CACUAUCGUUAACUGAAUACAUAGGUUAACGAGGCGAACCGGGGGAACUGAAACAUCUAAGUACCCCGAGGAAAAGAAAUCAACCGAGAUUCCCCCAGUAGCGGCGAGCGAACGGGGAGCAGCCCAGAGUCUGAAUCAGCUUGUGUGUUAGUGGAACGGUCUGGAAAGUCCGACGGUACAGGGUGAUAGUCCCGUACACCAAAAUGCACAGGCUGUGAACUCGAAGAGUAGGGCGGGACACGUGGUAUCCUGUCUGAAUAUGGGGGGACCAUCCUCCAAGGCUAAAUACUCCUGACUGACCGAUAGUGAACCAGUACCGUGAGGGAAAGGCGAAAAGAACCCCGGCGAGGGGAGUGAAAAAGAACCUGAAACCGUGUACGUACAAGCAGUGGGAGCACCUUCGGGUGUGACUGCGUACCUUUUGUAUAAUGGGUCAGCGACUUAUAUUCUGUAGCAAGGUUAACCGUAUAGGGGAGCCGCAGGGAAACCGAGUCUUAACUGGGCGUUAAGUUGCAGGGUAUAGACCCGAAACCCGGUGAUCUAGCCAUGGGCAGGUUGAAGGUUGGGUAACACUAACUGGAGGACCGAACCGACUAAUGUUGAAAAAUUAGCGGAUGACUUGUGGCUGGGGGUGAAAGGCCAAUCAAACCGGGAGAUAGCUGGUUCUCCCCGAAAGCUAUUUAGGUAGCGCCUCGUGAAUUCAUCUUCGGGGGUAGAGCACUGUUUCGGCUAGGGGGUCAUCCCGACUUACCAACCCGAUGCAAACUACGAAUACCGAAGAAUGUUAUCACGGGAGACACACGGCGGGUGCUAACGUCCGUCGUGAAGAGGGAAACAACCCAGACCGCCAGCUAAGGUCCCAAAGUCAUGGUUAAGUGGGAAACGAUGUGGGAAGGCACAGACAGCCAGGAUGUUGGCUUAGAAGCAGCCAUCAUUUAAAGAAAGCGUAAUAGCUCACUGGUCGAGUCGGCCUGCGCGGAAGAUGUAACGGGGCUAAACCAUGCACCGAAGCUGCGGCAGCGACACUAUGUGUUGUUGGGUAGGGGAGCGUUCUGUAAGCCUGCGAAGGUGACCUGUGAGGGUUGCUGGAGGUAUCAGAAGUGCGAAUGCUGACAUAAGUAACGAUAAAGCGGGUGAAAAGCCCGCUCGCCGGAAGACCAAGGGUUCCUGUCCAACGUUAAUCGGGGCAGGGUGAGUCGACCCCUAAGGCGAGGCCGAAAGGCGUAGUCGAUGGGAAACAGGUUAAUAUUCCUGUACUUGGUGUUACUGCGAAGGGGGGACGGAGAAGGCUAUGUUAGCCGGGCGACGGUUGUCCCGGUUUAAGCAUGUAGGCUGGUUAUCCAGGCAAAUCCGGAUAAUCAAGGCUGAGGUGUGAUGACGAGGCACUACGGUGCUGAAGUAACAAAUGCCCUGCUUCCAGGAAAAGCCUCUAAGCAUCAGGUAACAUCAAAUCGUACCCCAAACCGACACAGGUGGUCAGGUAGAGAAUACCAAGGCGCUUGAGAGAACUCGGGUGAAGGAACUAGGCAAAAUGGUGCCGUAACUUCGGGAGAAGGCACGCUGGUGUGUAGGUGAAGCCCCUGCGGGUGGAGCUGAGACCAGUCGAAGAUACCAGCUGGCUGCAACUGUUUAUUAAAAACACAGCACUGUGCAAACACGAAAGUGGACGUAUACGGUGUGACGCCUGCCCGGUGCCGGAAGGUUAAUUGAUGGGGUUAUCCGUAAGGAGAAGCUCUUGAUCGAAGCCCCGGUAAACGGCGGCCGUAACUAUAACGGUCCUAAGGUAGCGAAAUUCCUUGUCGGGUAAGUUCCGACCUGCACGAAUGGCGUAAUGAUGGCCAGGCUGUCUCCACCCGAGACUCAGUGAAAUUGAACUCGCUGUGAAGAUGCAGUGUACCCGCGGCAAGACGGAAAGACCCCGUGAACCUUUACUAUAGCUUGACACUGAACAUUGAGCCUUGAUGUGUAGGAUAGGUGGGAGGCUUUGAAGCGUGGACGCCAGUCUGCGUGGAGCCAACCUUGAAAUACCACCCUUUAAUGUUUGAUGUUCUAACGUUGGCCCCUUACCGGGGUUGCGGACAGUGUCUGGUGGGUAGUUUGACUGGGGCGGUCUCCUCCCAAAGCGUAACGGAGGAGCACGAAGGUUAGCUAAUCCUGGUCGGACAUCAGGAGGUUAGUGCAAUGGCAUAAGCUAGCUUGACUGCGAGCGUGACGGCGCGAGCAGGUGCGAAAGCAGGUCAUAGUGAUCCGGUGGUUCUGAAUGGAAGGGCCAUCGCUCAACGGAUAAAAGGUACUCCGGGGAUAACAGGCUGAUACCGCCCAAGAGUUCAUAUCGACGGCGGUGUUUGGCACCUCGAUGUCGGCUCAUCACAUCCUGGGGCUGAAGUAGGUCCCAAGGGUAUGGCUGUUCGCCAUUUAAAGUGGUACGCGAGCUGGGUUUAGAACGUCGUGAGACAGUUCGGUCCCUAUCUGCCGUGGGCGCUGGAGAAUUGAGGGGGGCUGCUCCUAGUACGAGAGGACCGGAGUGGACGCAUCACUGGUGUUCGGGUUGUCAUGCCAAUGGCACUGCCCGGUAGCUAAAUGCGGAAGAGAUAAGUGCUGAAAGCAUCUAAGCACGAAACUUGCCCCGAGAUGAGUUCUCCCUGAGACUUUAAGUCUCCUGAAGGAACGUUGAAGACGACGACGUUGAUAGGCCGGGUGUGUAAGCGCAGCGAUGCGUUGAGCUAACCGGUACUAAUGAACCGUGAGGCUUAACCUU